UUCUUUUUUUUGACCAUGUCAGGAGAAAAAAUCCAAAUUGAUACACGAGGAGGUGCAAAGGGAUCAUAAUGUGUUUGUUAAUACCAUAAACUAAGGCAGGGGAGGGCAAAUUGCUAUGCUUUACCUGGGCUCUAGUGAUUAAAAAGUGGGGCUCCUGAAUGGGUGAAAUAAAUCAACAAAAUGGGGCAGGGGACAAAGUGAAAUAGAGGAGAUUGCUGCUUAGAAUGCCAAUGCUACAGGAAAUGGGGACCAAAUUAGAUGUGAUACAUUAGUAUGUCAUUUUCAGAAAGCAAUUUGCAUUUCUUGGCUAGCUGCACAUUUUAGUGGUAUCACUGGGUCUUCAUAAUGCUUUCCUUUCCUCAACUUUGCACAGAAUCGCCUCUUCCUAGUAACUGCUCCCGUUAUAUCUUUUCGCCAGUGAAACAGAGUGAAUGGACUGAGAAAGAGAGAGGAAAGGGUUAAACCAUACCCCACAUCAUUCUUACAUAAUUGCAGCCACUCCGGACUUUUUCCACCAAAAAACAAACAAUGGUAGUAGGGAAUAACCCUGGCAUAUUUAGUUCAAAGACUGAGGAGUAAUUAAUGGGAAAGAUCAUUUUCUGGCAAAGACUUAAUCUCUACUGACAGGAAGCCACGAGAAGGAUUCAUUUGACUCAACGGGGCUAGACUAUGAGCCUGAGCAAGCAGGACCUGGCAGCUCUUCUCAAACACUGUAGAAAAUGGCACUUCCUGUGGCAACAAAGCAAACAGCCUCUUCCAGGAAGGGCCCAAUAUGCAGCCUAACGUGAGGUGAAAAUACAGUCUUGAAGGCCACAGUCACAGACACAGGGGAAGACGACACCACCUCUUCCAGAAUGGCCCCAUCCUGGGGCAGCAACAAAAUUCCCAAAGGCAUGAAGCCAGUCAACUGCCCCCACCAAGUCUGGUCUCCUUCAUGGGGGCCUUCAAUUCCCCAUUGCGCUUUAGGCUUUGCUUGCCAGAUGUGGGUGGGCCAACUCGGUUGCUUCCACUAUAUUGGCUCUUGCUAUGUAAAUUGGUGGAAAGGUAGGUAAUGUCAGUGUGAGUAAAUUGUCAAAAUUUGGUUGAGAUAGUGCUUGCAGUUCUGGAGAGAUUCUUAAUUUUUGCUUCUCAUAGACAUAGAAUGGGUAUUUGGUUAAGCAGUGAAAAUUUAUGAGUAAUCUGAAAAAUGGAUGGGUAGUAGUGGUGGUGGUGGUGGUGGGGUUGAACAGCACUCUCAGCCAAUCAGGGGAAGGAGCAGGAGUUUUGAAUACCUGUCAAACUAUUUAAGAUGUCUUUCCUUCUCAGUAUGUUUUAUGCUUGUACACUUUAAAGUUUUAAAAGCGUAUGGCACUUUAUCACUGUUACUCAUUUCCAUGAUACAGCACUUUAUGAAACCUGUCCCUGCUGGUUUGCUUUUAAUUACUCUGAUUUUAUCUGCUUGGAUUUUAAUGUGUUGUCCAUUAUUUUAUUUUGUGUAUCGUUGGAAUGUUUUAAGUUUUUGUCAAAUAUGUUGUGUUGUUGUUUCAGGCUUGUCCCUGUUGUGAGCCGCCCCGAGUCCCUUUGGGGAGAUGGGGCGGGAUAUAAAAAUAAAGUUUAUUAUUAUUAUUAUU